AAGAUCGUACUUCUAGGGAUCAGUCCUAUAGUACGUAUCACCAGGACGUCAAACUAAAGAUAGAACGUAUCUAUUCAAUAAUUUGCCCAUAGG
rfam:Schistosoma mansoni, Puerto Rico, WGS project CABG01000000 data, contig: 0198